GGACGUGAGGGCUAUCUGUCUGCGACAUCUGUCUCCCCAUUGAUCGCCAGGGUUGAUUUGGCUGAUCUGGCUGGCUAGGCGGGUGUCCCCUCCCUCCCUCACAACUUCAUGUACAUUCUUCCCAAAGCUGUGUGCUUGGUUGAAGAGGCCCACCUUCCCCAAACAGAGAAGGGAAAGAGA
rnacentral:snRNA from 1 species